GUUCCUGUCUUUUUCAGCUGGUGCCGAAUAGCUUCAUAAACUACCUGAUAAAAUGGGUUGAGAGAGAUCUGCCUCCUGAGUACCGAUGGCUUAAGUUUGUUUAAGUCUGUUUGGGAUACAGUUUAAACAUGAACCGAAAGAAGAUAGUUGGAAGUAAGUGAUAUAAGAAAGUGAGGACUGAAGAUUCGGAAAGUACAGAAUGCAUUGGCCGAACUUGAAAUUUGAAGGACAAUAUUUACAUCAGAUUGGGGGAAAAGGGCCAAAAAGACAAACAUUCAUAUACAAACUUGAUGCACCAGGUUGACACAGGCUUGCAGAAAGGUUACACUGAAGUAGUCCUGGACUGAAUCUUAGAGACAUGAUCGAAAAAUAAGUGACCUCACCCUUUAUCAACUCAAAGGGUCAUUUAAGGAAGACGGCUCUGCUGACUUGUACCAUCGUCUAGUCAGUAUUUUACAAGACCAUCGUGAAUCUCCACAAAACUUCCUGUUUAGGGCAGUUGAAUUAAAUGAGGGGCUCUUGUUUGCUUCCAAAUUGGGGCUGAUGACCUGUACAAUGCAGAGCUCAUUUAGAGGAAGUUCUUGAGGUCGAUGAACAUGGGACUGUUAAAUGACCAUAUUAAGUUCCAGCUGAAAUCCUACUUGGAUGACCAGACUGUAGCUGAUGAGGUGCUUAUUGACAAUAUGAAUGAAGCAGCCAGCUUUGAAUGGGAAAGACAACAAAAGCAAAAGAAAAAUGUAUGCAGUAAAACAACAAAAGUGAAUGAAUUGCAAACCGGAGUGCAAAUACAUGAGCAAAGUGGUAACAGGACAGAGAAUUCCAAGUCUCUUCAACAGGUUGCACAGAACAGCUCCCCAAGCAGUGGAACACCCUGACCAGAGAAAAGCAGGAAAGCAGUGGGAAUGGACAAGAGGGUGGAUCCAGACCUUUACGAUGUGGUGAAACCGCUGAAGCUGGACAUGGCAGAAAUGAAAAAAAAACCUUUCAGUGGAGCACAGCCGCAGACCCAAACCACAAAAGUGAGGAUGCAGGGCUUGUCAAGACACAAGUGAGGGCGAGACAUGCAACCAUUGCUUUAAAUGUGGUCAGCAGGGCCAUCUCUCCAGAGGCUGUACAGCACAAAAACAGCAGGGAAACGAGGGAAGGUUGCCAGUGGUGUAAAAAAGAACAGUCACUCUGCAGUUUGAAAAUAUUCAAGAAUCCUACACUGUGUUCUGCUGUUCAAAAGUCUGUCAGGAGCAACACAAGGAAACACACAAGAAAGUAUGUAAUUGCAUUAGUCAAUUAGAAUCCAUGGAGGUAGAAAAAGCAAAACAAGACAAUAAUAGACAAUAAGGGUCCUGCUACAUUAGGCACAUCGCACCAAAAUGUCAGUUAAAGCUGCUUAACUUAAUUGGGAGGAAAUGUUUAAUCUUAUAUUCCUUAGAUGGCAUUGCCACACAAGCAUUAUGGGACACUGGAUCCCAGGUCUGCCUCAUUAAUGAAGAGUGGAGAAAGAAACACCUACCUAACACCAAAAUCAGAGCUGUUGAAGACAUCUUAGGGCCUGGCACACUAACAGGGAAGGCAAGGAACCAGAUAAAAAUUCAAUUUUCUGGAUGGAUUGAAGUAAAAUUCCAGCUCGGAACAUAAACUAGGUCACAACUUGAACUCAGAGUUCCUGCCCUUGUGUCCUGUGAGCCUGGUAUGCCGGAGGAACUAAUCAUUGGCUACAAUGUGAUUGAAGCACUAGUCAACCUUGAUAUGGAGGCUGGACCGUCUACAGACAUCAUUAUUGAUGCAAUGAGUUCAGCCUUCUCUUGUGGUUCUAAGAAAGCAGAGACACUGAUGAAGCUGAUUGCAGUGUGUGUGCAGUAAGAGUGUGGUGACAGAGAGUGCUUAUCCCAGCAGGCCAGACCAUUGGUGUUCGAUGCUGUGUGCACACAGGGCCACUUUUAGGGAACCAGAAGUGCUCUUCAUACCGGAUGAGAACCCAAGAUGGCCUGAUGGACUAGCCAUUGCUGAAACUCUUCUUUGUCUUCAGAAGGGCAGCUUGUCUAGAAUAAUUAUUCCUGUUACUAAUGAUACAUGUCAUGAUCUCAGUCUUAAUCAACGCUCUCUUAGGACACAUCCACCUGGUGAAAGGAGUUUAUCCCACUGCAGCCAAACCUGUAGAACACAUUCUAAACCUGCUUUCAACAGAACAGCAGCUGGUGGUAAGAAAAAUGCUAAGAGAAGAAUGUGGUGCAUUUUCUAAGAAUGACAAAGACAUAGGCUGUAUUCCCUCUCUACAGUUACAGAUCAGACUGAAAGCUGACACUCCAGUGAAGAAAAUGUAUAUGUCUGUUCCCAAGCCACUACACAAGGAGGUCAAAGAGUACCUUUAAGACUUGCUGAUCCGGGGGUGGAUAACCAAAUCAAAGUCACCAUAUUCCUCAUCAGUUGUUUGCGUGCAGAAGACAGGAGUCUACGGCUGUGCUGCAAUUACUGUGAGCUUAAUCAGAAGUCCAUUCCAGAUCACCACCCUAUUCCCCGAAUUCAGGAUAUGCUAGAUAGCAUGACUGGGAGCUCCUGGUUUUCAGUGCAUGACCAGGGUAAAGCUUAGCACUAAGAUUUUCUGGAGGAGAAAAGCCAACCGCUGACAGCAUUCAUAACUCCAUGGGGACUGUACAAGUGGAUCUGAAUCCCCUUCGGUCUCAGUUCUGCCCGUACAGAGUUCCAGAGAAGAGUGCUUAUCAGGGCUACGAGAUGAGCUAUGUCAACUAUAUCUUGAUGACAAUUUGGUCCAUAGUAAGUCAUUUGAAUAGGUAAAGAAUGUGCACACAGUGUUACAUGAGUACCAGCAUUCUCAUAUUACCAUGUGUACGUACAAAACUUCUCUCGUUUAGCACAACCACUCUAUGACCUGUUAACAGCUGAUAAGACGGUUGGCAGCGGGUGUAAACUAAAAGCAUCUCUGAAACAGAAAGGUCAAGGUCAGCUUUCAUCUCGCCAGCCAAUUAAAUGGAUGGGAGAACACCAAGAGGCCCUCCAUCAUCUUUUAGAUCUACUGUCUCAUCCACCAGUUCUUGGAUAUCCUGAUUUCAGAGAACCGUUUAUCCUGCACUGUGAUGCUUCCCAAGAAGAACUAGGUGCAGUCCUGUAUCAGCAACAGAAUGACAAGCUUGUGGUCAUCGCUUAUGGCUAAGAACACUGACUGUACCAGAAAAUAACUAUUGCAUGCUGUAACAGGGUGAGCAGCCCUGUACAGUAUUAUUUAUUUUAGAACAGGGUUUCCCCUCCGCCCCUGUACUGUGUUUUGUGUUUGUUUAUUUAUUAUUGAUAUAAAUGUCGGUGAACGGCAUGUUAUUGUUUCUGUCUGUUUUGUUUAAAAACCUUGUGGUAAUGUGUGGCUGUCGGCUAGUACGUUGUUAAACUAGAUUGCAGUCACAGAAUUACUAAACUCAUGCAUAAUGUGGCCGAGGGGUAAUCGGAGAAUUGAUAGUUUAACCCCUCUGCCAUAGUAAAUAAAAGCCUGCAGCUCUCUGCACUUGGGGUGGGGUGUUCAGAGGAGGAACGAGAGGAGCGAGAGAUAGUUAAAAAUGAAAACGAAACUUAAAGGAUCUGUGAAAGCUACUGCUCAGCCGGACCUUAACUGUGUUCAUGAUUUGUUUUUGUUUGAUUAUUUAUUUGUAUGCUCUGUGAGCAAGUGUUUCUUUUGUUUAAAUAUUUUAUUUAUUUUUGUUGUAUUUAAAAUAAAGACGGCGCACGCCACGUCUCUUUUUGAAACUGAAGUUACCUGACCUAUGUGUGCUUCCUUCUGGUCUGACAUCACCACAACGCCAUUUCCUGCCACACAUGCAUUCUGGUAAACUGCAGUUUUUAGCAAUGAAGAGGGCUACUUUGCUCCCUUGUUUGCUGUCUACACAGACAACAACCCAGUCACCUAUGUCCUCUCCACAACUAAGCUAACGCUACAGGGCACAGAUGGGUGGCUCAGCUGGCAGACUUUAACUUUACAAUUAAGUAUCGUCCAGGGAAGACAAACGCUUAUGCUGAUGGUCUUUCCUGCUUGACGAUAGACAUUGAAUGAUAGACAUUGAAAUCUACCCUGAAGUAAUUAGUAGUACUGUGCAGGCAAUCCAAAUACAACAUAAAGAGCAAGUGCCAUGGAUCUGCCCUAUGACCAUCACAUCUGCAGUAGCAUAGGUCGGCUGUGACAGCUUACCAUCUCCAGUUGCUAUAGUAAGCAAAGAAGCCAUAAGAAAGGCUCAAGAAGAUGACCCUGUAAUCGGAAUGGUGUUGCAGUUUAAAACCAAGAAACAGCAUCCACCAGAAGGAGAAAAAAGGGGUGUUCCAGAUGACACCACUUAAAUUAACAAACUGUCAAUUCUACCAGGACAUUUACGAGCAGCUUCAAGAGGACAUAGGACACCUGGGGGUGGAAUGAACCAUAAAUUUAGUAAGGGACUGAUUUUACUGGCCAUACAUGCAGAGGUAUGUGGAGCAUUAUGUCACCAAAGUAUGCAAUUGACUCAAGCAAAAACGACCAAACAAACCAACCAGAGCACCACUAUCAAACACGGUCACCACCUAAGCAUUUGAGAUGAUCUCUGUUGACUUUCUGCAUCUUGAAAAGUGCAAUGUGAGUUUGAGUACAUCUUUGUUGUGAUGGACCAUUUCACCCGCUUUGCUCAAGCACAUGCAACCGCGAAUAAAUCUGCAAAGACAGCAGCAGAGAAAAAUCUACUGUUUUCUAGGCUUUAGAAGUACUGCAGAGUCAGAGGUUUACACACAACCCCAUACCACCUCCAGGGCAAUGGACAAGUAGAAUGGUUCAACAGAAUGCUCCUGAGUAUGCUGGGGACCCUCCCAGAAGAUGCCAAAGCCGAUUGGAAGGUUUUUCUUGCUAAAGUUAUGCAUGCUUACAACUGUACGCGUAGCGAGGACACAGGAUUUUCAUCCUUCUACUUAUUGUUUGGAAGAGCCCUCAGGCUCCCCAUUGAUAUCAUGUUUGGACUCCAAUCAGCAGAAAAGGGAGACACACAUGAAGACUGCUUAGAGAAGUGGAUAAGAAUGCAAGAAGCAUAUCAGAUACCAUCCAAAACAGUACUGAGAGGUGAAAAAGGCAAGGAAUACUAUGACAGAAAAGCUUAUGAUGCAGAGUUACUCCCUGGCAGAAAUUUGAGAGGGGUGGGCCUUACCCAAAAAAAACACAAGGACACUCCAGUGUACAAAGUCAAACUUGAAAUGGGCACUGGUAGACCAAGAAUGCAGCAUAGAAACAUGCUGCUACCUUGCGACUUUCUGCCUGUUGAUUAGGCCCUCCCAAGUAAAACAAAGAAAAAGUCACAGAACUGGAACAAGGCUGGUGAGAAGACACAAGCCCCACAGCAUGCUCUAAGUGAAGUUGAGAGUGACUUGGAAGAGGAGGAUGAUCAGUGGGGAUUUAUGCAGUUUGCAUGCAGUCAUGGACACAGAGGAACGCGGGACGCCUGCCGAUUUAGGAAAUAGAAGCAGACCAAACUGUUCAGGUGAACAUACCUGAUCCAGGAGCAGGUUAAAGUGACUACAGUCACUUAGAAGAAGAACCCUAUUCUCCCCACAGGACAACAUACCCCAGCAGAGAAAGACAGCCCAAAACACUGACUUAUGACAGUCUUGGGCAGCCCAAGAUGUGCCAAGAGACUUUUGACAUGGACUAAGAUAUGUACUGUAACCAGUUUGUGGCACUGAAUGGAACCAUGGACUGUGACAAUUUGUGGCACUGAAGUGAAUUACGGACUGUGACCAGUUUAUGGACUAUACUGAACUGCUGACUCCACUGCACGUUGAACUGUGAACUACUGAAAACUGCAUAUGCCAGUUAAAUGUUAAGAUUGCUUAAUGAAGUAGUUAAAUACUGUUGUUGCAAAGGGGGUCAAGUGAAAAGCAAUACCAUACACCCUUUAUAAUUGAUCAAGGUUAGUAAAGCUAGUAUUAGUAGGCCGCAUUAGCCAGUGAGAGCAGUUGUUGGGUUCACGUUCAGGUAAAAGGUCAAUGAUCCGUUAUUCUGUGAUUCAAGGUUGAAGUGUAAACCACUUACCUUUUGUAGACAUAAUUCUCUGCAUAAAGUGGCAGAAGAAACAACUAGAUAUCAUAGUGCAUGAUGGUACUAGGUGUUCAAAAACAAAACCUGUUCUAACACAGGACGUGUCCAAUAACUGCCAAUGAAUCACCCCAGUCUGAGGACUGAUAGUGUUGUGGGAAAUUUCUGAAUGUUGAGUAUGGAGAGUGUGGGAAGCCUGCAUGAAUAAUAGGGCCUUUCUUUUCAUUUGCUUAUCUGUGUUUGUUUUGCCAGUUUAUUUUAAAUCCUUGAUGAACAUUUUCUAAUGUGAUUAAUUAUGGCAUUAGUGAGUUUGUGGUUAUAUAGAGUGUUCGCCAAUUAGAACUAAGACGUUCGUGUUGAAACCAAAAGUAAAAUUGUAUGCUGCCUGUA